CAGCUCUGGGGAUGUUGCCUAGCAAAACAAAUUCUGUCAGCAUAGCCCCGCGGUCUGACGUGGUACCGAAUACGCAACACUAUCUAUAAAAACCAGGAAGCAAUCCAAGGGAAACGGCACAUUUUAGUUCUGCUGCAGACCAUCCACAGAAUACAGUGAUGCAGAAAACUAUUCCUGGCUGCUUUUUCCAGCAAAUGUAUGCUUCCCUAACUGGCAUUUCUAUGGAGAGAGACCAUAUGAAAGAUCUUAGAAGAUACCUGACUCUCGCCAUUUACGGACGGUGAAAAAUGCCAGACUGACAUCCAGGAUCAUCUGGAUCCUGGUGACUGCAGAGUGCGCCCUGUUCCAGACAGAUGUCCUCCUGAAGGCCAGCAGCACUUCUGCUCCCACCCGCAGCCCUUGUGUUUUGUUGUUUCAUUUCUCCAGCACGGCUGCAGCCCUUCUCAGGUCCCUCAGUUACUUCCUGGGAAUUCUUUUAAGGAUUGCCAAUGUAUACAUCUACUACAAAAUAUUUUUUAGCAUGUCUAACAGAUCUACGCUAAAAACGAAGUAGCGCGUAUUCCCAGGGGAAGCUGCACUGUGACACCAAACAGAAGACACUUCAACACAGUUUCAAACUAUUGGUUUGAAAAUUGUUCAAUAACCAGGACCAAGGCUCAUGUUUUGGCACACCAUUGAGUUUAAACCUUCCUGUUUUCUAAUGCUGUUUAGCCUUGGUUAUUAUGAGGAGCUUGGGGCUGAGGAGCCCCUUGGCACUGAAACACAACGAAGCUGGGCUGUGGGUGCUCGUGCUGACAGCCUUAGAGCACUGCGGGCUUGCUUUGAUUGUUUGCAAUCUACAGUUUAUUCACUGUACAGGUGAAACAAAUGACAUUUCAUGAACGGUUGUAAAAACAAAAGCAACCCAAAUAUUUUUUAUAUAAAAAGGGUGCUUAGAGGCUUACUCAGGGAUCCGCUGAGCCAAGAGCUGUACAGUUGUACACUAAAGACAUGAUCUAUGUCCUAAAAUAUCUCUAACGCAGGUGACCCAUCAGAAUCAGCAGGUAGGAUCGAGAAACAAGGUGAGCGCCAAGCUGACCUAGCCUAGCUGGGCUUGUCCCACAGGUGGCAUCAGCCCCACCACGAGAGUCCCCAGGACAGAGCGGGGCUGAGCUGCCACAUCUCGGUACACGCCUGGAGCUAUUCUUGGGAGGUUGCUACAGUAAAGUAGUAAAUAGCUUCUCACAUCCUCCUUCAGAAAUAAACAGGAGGUGGAAAGCCAGAAUGCAGUUGUUUGCUGCAGCCCUACAAGGGCGGGGAGAGAGUUUCAGAAAACCCCUGUGUUGAAGGCUCCAUGUGCUGUACCCAGAGGGAUCACCAGCGAUUUUGGUGGCCAUGGUUUCAGAGGCAGGGAGGGAUGCGCUGGGGUUAGCAGUGCUGCUCCGGCUCCCUUGGCAGUGGUUCCAUGGGUACCAGGGCCAUGGAUGUUCCUCUGACCGCACUGGGGCUCGGGUGGAUGUAUAACAGAGCUAUUACCCAGCUGGUGAUUCCCAGGGUCUCCUGAAAGCACUGGAUGGUUAUCAGCAAAACAUAAAGUACUCUAGAUACCUCAGACACUCCCCAACACACAAGUGGAUGUAGGCACUUCCGAUUACUUUUGCACUUUGCAUGGGAGAUGGCCUCCAGCUUCAAUUAAAGACUGUGGUUUUGAGAAACUGAACUUCUGUGAUAUGUUCUGCAAUCCACAGAUCGUAAAAAGGUGGAAAGAAAAAUGAAAUAAGCCAAACCCCAAGUAUUAAUAGCCAAAAUGCUACAUACAGCCUCCCUCCAUCAUGCUUCCAGACCUUCAAUACACCUUGCCAGCCCAAACACAGCAAUAAGCCUCUGCCCGCCUGAGAAGAAGAAGGAUGUGGGGCACAAAACCCAAGCGUGAUGAAUUUCAGCUCUAACCUUCCCUCCUUCAGGUUGCAGUAGGUCCUCACACUCAAACUGGCACCAGUGAAUGCCUGAUGUGCCCUGCUGGUAGCAGUUACUUGGCACUUAGACUGUUAGAGCUGAAAAUUGGAGCUGUGAGCACUUUCCCGAGUGGCCUGUAGUCCAAGGUGACCAGAGGCACAAGAGCUGUCAACUGAAGGUCAGACUUCACAAACCCAAGACAAACAGCAAGUGCGGAGGAGUUUCCUGCUCUUUGCUAUGCUUACCAGCCAGUUUCUAAAUUUCGCAAUCACGCCUUUUCUAGUUGGUGUCAGAAGUGAUUUUUUCCUCCUUCAGGGAGAUAAACUUGACCGAAAGGCAACACCCAGAAAAGGGGCAGUGAAACCAGGUGCGCCCGUCUUGCUGCUGGGGCAGGAGGCGGCUGGCAGCAGGACUGUCUCCUUCACAGCCAGACUAAAUGAAACAAAAUAGGGUUUUUUGCAUGUCAGAUAAAGUCAGCUCAGUUUUAAUGAAAGGCAAAUAUCCUGGCCCAAGGAGCAUCCAUCUUACAUUGGGAUCUUUGAGAUUACUCAAGUGCAUUUUUUCUGACAAGGACACUAAAUGAAAACCUUUUUUACGUGGCUAUACCCUGCCUAGCAUCUCCAGAGUCAUUUCAGAGACCCUCCCUGCUUCCUUUCCACCUUCUCUUUGUGUUCCUUCAUGACACUCUCUGAGAAAAGGCUGAAUUUUGCUUCUACAUCAAUAAUCAAGCAAUAAUAAUGCAGAUGUACUUGGCUGGUUCUAUGAGAUUAAAAUAUUGAGCUCUUACUUACAACUGCUAAAAUCUUUAAAAAUAUUCUAAUCCCUUUGGCUGCACUAAUACACUUCAAAAAAUUAUGAAUAGUGUUAUUAUCAGAAUUCACAGAAGUUAUCUGCCUAGAGUGCAGUUAUUUACAAUGAAUAUUGGCAGCGUCAGAGAUGCUGUGGACACUGGUGGGCCAGAAGCCAGGGAAGAGUGCUUGACAUCAUUGUUUCUCAGAAGACUGAAAGGAAACACUGGUAAGGGCUGGGUAUCCAGUAAAAGCAGAACAGAAAUUUAAUCAAGUCACUUAAAAAAACUCGGAUGCAUGUUGCCUAACAAAGCCAAUUCCUUCUCCAGGAAGGACGUCUUAGUACUUUGAUGUACUGUGAUACACUGUUCUUAUUCUGGAAGCCUGAAGUGCCACUUUCAGGAGAGACAAACUGCU